CCUACGGGGGGCUGCAGUGGGGAAUUUUGGACAAUGGGGGCAACCCUGAUCCAGCCAUUCCGCGUGAGUGAAGAAGGCCUUCGGGUUGUAAAGCUCUUUUGUCCGGAGCGAAACGGGCGGCCCUAAUACGGUCGUCUACUGACGGUACCGGAAGAAUAAGCACCGGCUAACUACGUGCCAGCAGCCGCGGUAAUACGUAGGGUGCGAGCGUUAAUCGGAAUUACUGGGCGUAAAGCGUGCGCAGGCGGUUAUCCCCGGGGCUCACCCGGGGAAUGCAUGUGGGACUGCAAGGCUGGAGUGUGGCAGAGGGGACUAGAAUUCCUGGUGUAGCAGUGAAAUGCGUAGAUAUCAGGAGGAAUACCGAUGGCGAAGGCAGGUCCCUGGGUUAACACUGACGCUCAUGCACGAAAGCGUGGGGAGCAAACAGGAUUAGAUACCCGUGUAGUC
rnacentral:rRNA from 1 species